UAAAAAACGUUGGGUUGUUUUUUCAACCCAACUGCUGGGUUGAGCCAGUUGGGUUAUUUUGUUGGGUUGUUUUAUCAGUGUUGGGUAGUUUUUGUGUAACCCAACUUGUUGGGUUAUAUGUUGGGUAAUUUUGAAGCAGAGCCAACUUAAUAGAUACAUAUAGCUGUUUCUCAAUAUUACUUUCUCUAGUCCACAAAAUGUAUUUUAAACAUAAAUUCAGGCGAGAAUAUAUAUGUAUUAUGCUCAAAUUUGCAGUCGGUUUGUAAAGUGAACGCCAAUUUUAAAGUUUAAUUUCAAAAAGUCGGAAUGUUACCGGCCACCGGGUGUCACUGUUGUUCUUCCCCAGAGAGAACUUCUCCCUUCCCCCACACAAACGCGUCAGACUCCAGUCACAGCUACAAACACGCUACCUGACGCGGGAAUUUACCAUCACCUCAAGAUUCAUGAACGGUUUUUCAUCGACUUAUCUUUGAUUUAUUUGAAGGAAAAGACCCUGAUGGAUAAAAGAUGGAUAUUUUUUUCCUGGAGAAGCUAAAACAAUGUCACUUUGAGGUUCUGAUACCAGCCUUUACAAAGUUAUUUACAGAGUUCACAAGACUUCUCUGUGUUAUUUCCUGACCAUGCCGAAAAACUAUUUGAAACUUGGGCACUGCAUUUUACAGACAGAAUCCUGCAACUUCCCAGCCAAGAACCAGGAGCAUCAACAAAUCACCUCCAGAACCCCAUGAUGAUAUUCCAACUCCUGUCUACAAAAGUGGGAAGAAAAUCUUAAGUCUAUGUUGGGACCAACAUGGUUGCAUUCUUCUGAGAGGCUGAGGUGACAAAACCAUUCCCAUUUGUCCUUGGAUUGGAAGAUGGCGAUCUCUGCCAUCAAGCCUUUGUUGUUUUUGACAGACAGUCACUCCAGCAAUACACCCUCCUUGGUGAUGUUGACAUGUUUUAAACUUUUUUUAUGUUUUGGACAUUCAUUUUACUAAGCAGUGCACAUCAGUGUGGGUGUUUUUGAAGACUGUUGUUUACAAACUUCCAAGAACGGAAUCCCUUUCUAUAAGAAGUCUGUGUAGUUAUUUGUCAUGCUAAGGUAAUAACUCAUGUUGAUCAUAUAUUGACUGUUUGUGCAACUUUGUGUUGAUCUUUUGUGUUACAUUAACCAUUUCUUAUUACACGGUUCUCUAAAAUGCUAGUUUCUGAUUGGCCAGUCGUGACAUUCUACUACUGCUCAAAACUAAAAACUCCAAUGCUGCAAAUCAUUUUGACAGGUACAGUUUUAUAUUACACAAAAAUUAAAUAUCAAUAUCUAUUAAUUACAUAUCCGACAUUAAAUUUACAAAUGAUUAAACCAAUGUGUUCAUGACAUUUGUCCUGAAGAAACUGUUGGGGCUUUUUUCUGUGAUGACAUGCUGCCAAUACAUUAUCCCUUACUUGUACAACUUUUUACUUGAUCUAAUUGUAAUGUUAACUGUGUAUCUGUCAUUUUAGAUUGUGAGAUAUAAUACUAAUAUAUAUUUUUUAUCAGAAAGUUGAUUGUUUGUGUAGGGCUAUGUACUCUUUUAUUGUUCAUGUGCAAUAAAUAUGCUUUUUCAAUUAAAUCUAUGCUUUGUUAUUUAUAGACACCACAAUGAAAGGUAUGAAAGCAAUUUAAACCACAAAAUUUCAGCUUUAAACACAUUAACCAAACGUUGGGUUGUUUUAACCCAACAAAAAGUUAUUU